GGGUUGUGAGGUUAAGCGACUAAGCGUACACGGUGGAUGCCCUGGCAGUCAGAGGCGAUGAAGGACGUGCUAAUCUGCGAUAAGCGUCGGUGAGGUGAUAUGAACCGUUAUAACCGGCGAUUUCCGAAUGGGGAAACCCAGUGUGUUUCGACACACUAUCAUUAACUGAAUCCAUAGGUUAAUGAGGCGAACCGGGGGAACUGAAACAUCUAAGUACCCCGAGGAAAAGAAAUCAACCGAGAUUCCCCCAGUAGCGGCGAGCGAACGGGGAGGAGCCCAGAGCCUGAAUCAGUGUGUGUGUUAGUGGAAGCGUCUGGAAAGGCGUGCGAUACAGGGUGACAGCCCCGUACACAAAAAUGCACAUAUUGUGAGCUCGAUGAGUAGGGCGGGACACGUGGUAUCCUGUCUGAAUAUGGGGGGACCAUCCUCCAAGGCUAAAUACUCCUGACUGACCGAUAGUGAACCAGUACCGUGAGGGAAAGGCGAAAAGAACCCCGGCGAGGGGAGUGAAAAAGAACCUGAAACCGUGUACGUACAAGCAGUGGGAGCCUCUUAAUGGGGUGACUGCGUACCUUUUGUAUAAUGGGUCAGCGACUUAUAUUCUGUAGCAAGGUUAACCGAAUAGGGGAGCCGAAGGGAAACCGAGUCUUAACUGGGCGUUAAGUUGCAGGGUAUAGACCCGAAACCCGGUGAUCUAGCCAUGGGCAGGUUGAAGGUUGGGUAACACUAACUGGAGGACCGAACCGACUAAUGUUGAAAAAUUAGCGGAUGACUUGUGGCUGGGGGUGAAAGGCCAAUCAAACCGGGAGAUAGCUGGUUCUCCCCGAAAGCUAUUUAGGUAGCGCCUCGUGAAUUCAUCUCCGGGGGUAGAGCACUGUUUCGGCAAGGGGGUCAUCCCGACUUACCAACCCGAUGCAAACUGCGAAUACCGGAGAAUGUUAUCACGGGAGACACACGGCGGGUGCUAACGUCCGUCGUGAAGAGGGAAACAACCCAGACCGCCAGCUAAGGUCCCAAAGUCAUGGUUAAGUGGGAAACGAUGUGGGAAGGCCCAGACAGCCAGGAUGUUGGCUUAGAAGCAGCCAUCAUUUAAAGAAAGCGUAAUAGCUCACUGGUCGAGUCGGCCUGCGCGGAAGAUGUAACGGGGCUAAACCAUGCACCGAAGCUGCGGCAGCGACGCUUAUGCGUUGUUGGGUAGGGGAGCGUUCUGUAAGCCUGUGAAGGUGGCCUGUGAGGGUUGCUGGAGGUAUCAGAAGUGCGAAUGCUGACAUAAGUAACGAUAAAGCGGGUGAAAAGCCCGCUCGCCGGAAGACCAAGGGUUCCUGUCCAACGUUAAUCGGGGCAGGGUGAGUCGACCCCUAAGGCGAGGCCGAAAGGCGUAGUCGAUGGGAAACAGGUUAAUAUUCCUGUACUUGGUGUUACUGCGAAGGGGGGACGGAGAAGGCUAUGUUGGCCGGGCGACGGUUGUCCCGGUUUAAGCGUGUAGGCUGGUUUUCCAGGCAAAUCCGGAAAAUCAAGGCUGAGGCGUGAUGACGAGGCACUACGGUGCUGAAGCGACAAAUGCCCUGCUUCCAGGAAAAGCCUCUAAGCAUCAGGUAACAUCAAAUCGUACCCCAAACCGACACAGGUGGUCAGGUAGAGAAUACCAAGGCGCUUGAGAGAACUCGGGUGAAGGAACUAGGCAAAAUGGUGCCGUAACUUCGGGAGAAGGCACGCUGAUAUGUAGGUGAAGCGACUUGCUCGUGGAGCUGAAAUCAGUCGAAGAUACCAGCUGGCUGCAACUGUUUAUUAAAAACACAGCACUGUGCAAACACGAAAGUGGACGUAUACGGUGUGACGCCUGCCCGGUGCCGGAAGGUUAAUUGAUGGGGUUAGCGGUAACGCGAAGCUCUUGAUCGAAGCCCCGGUAAACGGCGGCCGUAACUAUAACGGUCCUAAGGUAGCGAAAUUCCUUGUCGGGUAAGUUCCGACCUGCACGAAUGGCGUAAUGAUGGCCAGGCUGUCUCCACCCGAGACUCAGUGAAAUUGAACUCGCUGUGAAGAUGCAGUGUACCCGCGGCAAGACGGAAAGACCCCGUGAACCUUUACUAUAGCUUGACACUGAACAUUGAGCCUUGAUGUGUAGGAUAGGUGGGAGGCUUUGAAGUGUGGACGCCAGUCUGCAUGGAGCCGACCUUGAAAUACCACCCUUUAAUGUUUGAUGUUCUAACGUGGGCCCCUUACCGGGGUUGCGGACAGUGUCUGGUGGGUAGUUUGACUGGGGCGGUCUCCUCCUAAAGAGUAACGGAGGAGCACGAAGGUUGGCUAAUCCUGGUCGGACAUCAGGAGGUUAGUGCAAUGGCAUAAGCCAGCUUGACUGCGAGCGUGACGGCGCGAGCAGGUGCGAAAGCAGGUCAUAGUGAUCCGGUGGUUCUGAAUGGAAGGGCCAUCGCUCAACGGAUAAAAGGUACUCCGGGGAUAACAGGCUGAUACCGCCCAAGAGUUCAUAUCGACGGCGGUGUUUGGCACCUCGAUGUCGGCUCAUCACAUCCUGGGGCUGAAGUAGGUCCCAAGGGUAUGGCUGUUCGCCAUUUAAAGUGGUACGCGAGCUGGGUUUAGAACGUCGUGAGACAGUUCGGUCCCUAUCUGCCGUGGGCGCUGGAGAACUGAGGGGGGCUGCUCCUAGUACGAGAGGACCGGAGUGGACGCAUCACUGGUGUUCGGGUUGUCAUGCCAAUGGCACUGCCCGGUAGCUAAAUGCGGAAGAGAUAAGUGCUGAAAGCAUCUAAGCACGAAACUUGCCCCGAGAUGAGUUCUCCCUGAGACUUAGAGUCUCCUGAAGGAACGUUGAAGACGACGACGUUGAUAGGCCGGGUGUGUAAGCGCAGCGAUGCGUUGAGCUAACCGGUACUAAUGAACCGUGAGGCUUAACCUUACAACGCCGAAG
rnacentral:rRNA from 1 species